rnacentral:rRNA from 1 species
GAUGAACGCUGGCGGCGUGCCUAAUACAUGCAAGUCGAGCGAACAGACCAGGAGCUUGCUCCCCCGACGUUAGCGGCGGUCGGGUGCGUAACACGUGGACAACAUACCUAUAAGACUGGGAUAACUUUGCGAAAUCGUAGCUAAUACCGGAUAAUUUAUUGCACCGCAUGGUUCAAUAGUGAAAGACGCUUUUUCUGUCACUUAUAGAUGGAUAAGCCCAGCAUUACUUAGUUGGUAAGGUAACGGAUUACCAAGGCGACGAUGCGUAGCCGACCUGAGAGGGUGAACGGCCACACUGGAACUGAGACACGGUCCAGACUCCUACGGGAGGCAGCAGUAGGGAAUCGUCCGCAAUGGGGGAAAGCCUGACGGAGCAACGCCGCGGGAGUGAUGAAGGUCUUCGGAUCGUAAAACUCUGUUAGUAGGGAAGAACAAAUGUGUAAGUAACUAUGCACGUCUUGACGGUACCUAAUCAGAAAGCCACGGCUAACUACGUG